CAGCCGCCACGGUAACACAGAGGGUGCAAGCGUUAAUCGGAAUUACUGGGCGUAAAGCGCGCGUAGGUGGUUUGUUAAGUUGGAUGUGAAAUCCCCGGGCUCAACCUGGGAACUGCAUCCAAAACUGGCAAGCUAGAGUAUGGUAGAGGGUGGUGGAAUUUCCUGUGUAGCGGUGAAAUGCGUAGAUAUAGGAAGGAACACCAGUGGCGAAGGCGACCACCUGGACUGAUACUGACACUGAGGUGCGAAAGCGUGGGGAGCAAACAGGAUUAGAUACCCGUGUAGUCCCUGUCUCUUAUAC
rnacentral:rRNA from 1 species